AGGUAGUACUUUAAAAAAAAGGUUCGAUUUGCAUUCGAUUAUUGAGGCUUGUCCUUCUACCUUU
rnacentral:tRNA from 1 species